CACUGUGUCCAGUAACUGCCUGACCUGGGGAUCAUUUUUUAGACAGGAGGCAUGUUUGGCAGAGCUGGGUGGAUCCAGCUCUGUGUGUCCUGCUGACUUGGGGACAUUUGCUUCCAGGUGGGUGGCCCUGGCCUCUCUGGGCUGCUGCUGAGGGUGAUGCUGGCUGAGUCUUCAGUGGUGCCCAUUGUGUGCUGACCAUGGAUAUAUGCAUGCCGUUGCUUCCUCAGGGUGAACCUGGAGCGUGGGUGCCUAUGUGCCCUGGGUGUGAACCUGUGUCAGGACAUGGAUGUCUGGGUAGGCAAUAUGCUUCAAGGAGCUGUGAGCCCUGGAGGUCUGGCUGGCCCAGCAGGCAGCACACGUCAUUGCUGAGUGUGAGCAGUUACAGAACUGGAGGCUGCAGAUCGACGAGUUGGGAUUCUGCCUCAUGUGCUGCCCCCAUAGCUGCAGGGUCAUGCUCUUCCUCAGCACACAGAUCACCAAAGGGCUGCCCUGGUUCCACCAGUCCCUGAGUGUCCAUGGCCUCUCACCAGCACCCCCCUCCUUGGUUGCAGAGUCACCAUGGAGGGGUCUGGGGAACAGAAGGAGUGAGCUGCUUGCUGGCCCCAGGGAGGCUGUGGAUCCUGCAACGAAUCUUCUGUCCUCAUUUUGUCCCAGGAGUGGGGUCAUUUUCAGAUUCUCACAGGUGUUUACCUGUUCGAGAACUUGUCCCCAGCUGCCAUCACAGUGCUCACCCUGGUCAGCAUUAGGCCAGAGCUGAAUCUUUUUUUUUUUUUUUGAGGGCCAUCGUCCCUGUCUUUAUUCACCAGGCCAGUUCCGAAUAUGAACAAGCAGAAAACUCAUUACAUAAGCAUCUUAGUUAUACCUUUCUGAAGUCUCUUGAAAAUGAUAUUCACAAUUCUGAUGAGAGGCUUUUAAUUGUUCUGAGGAAACUUUAUUUUCUAAAACCUUUGAUUCAGGAGUCGUUUUCUGACUUGUAGUCAGCAAUUUCAGGCCCUCUGCAUCCGCGUGUCCAUCAGCUUUUCGAGGUUCUCUUCUGACAUCCUCAGAUGAAGAUGUGCUGUCCCCAAAGCCCCAAUAAGAGAUGGGGACACUGCUUCUGCAGACACUGAGCCUUCGUGUCCUGCUGUCGACAAGCAGAAGGUUCAAUCAGUAUCCUGGGUGCCAGCACACAAUUGUUCACCAACAGUCCUCAGUUUCAAAUUUGCCUUUUAAGUCAGCAAUAUUUCCAACUUGGAGGACACAGGGCUGUUGUACCUGAGAACUGGCCAGGGAAUGUAGGUCUUCCUCCUCACAGCAGGUUGGGGACCAUCUGUCCUGUCAGCCUCACUGCUGCUGGUGCUGAGAGUGGAGGACACAGGGCUGUUGUGCCUGAAGCCUGGGAGUGUAGGUCCUCCUCCUUAUGCCAGGAUGAAGACUAUCUGAACUGCAGGCCUCACUGCUGCUGGUGUUGAGACUGGACACAGAGGUCACGGGGCUCUUGUACCUGAGGACUGGCCAGGAAGUGUGGAUCCUCAUCAGACCAGGUGGGGAACUGUCCAUCCUGUGGGCUCCAGGGCAGGCAUUUAGCCCUGAUGACUGGUCACCUUCAGGCAGCACUGGGGACACAGCACUGGCCUGAAGCUGGGCGUCAAGGACACUACUUUAUGGAUCAGCUGGAAGCCCAGCUCCACAGGUAGUUUUGAGCCUCAGCGUACUGAGCAGAUCCUAGAAGCUCCCCUUGAGUGAGCUCAGUUCUUGCUGCUCCACUGAGGCCCUCCUGGGAUUUCCCACAGCCCAGCACAGGGGACAAGCAGCCAUCCUCUUCCUCACGGCCCAGCUGGAAGACAAGGACUGACAGGUAUUGCUGACCUUCAAUUUUGGAAGGACCUAGGAACCCCAUGUCAAUUUCGUUUCCCCUUGUGUGCUGUAAGUCUUUGGCUGGGAUUUCCCACAGCUCAGAGCAGGGGACAAGCAGCCAUCCUGCUCACAGCCCAGCUGGAAGACAAGGCCUGGCAGGUAUUUCUCACUUUCAGGAUCCCCAUGUCAGUUUGAUUUUCUACGUCUCUGCUGUAAGCCUUUGGCUGGUAUUUUCCCCAGCAUUGCAUGGGGGCGGGGGGUGGAAUGGGGCAGUCCUGUUCUUUAAGGCCCUCCAGAGACACCAGGUUCUCCACAGCUUCAUCGAUUUCCUGGUUCUCGGGAGAACUCAGAGACUGAAAAGUGUGAUGUCACUUGCUUUGGGCCCUUUUUCUGCUCCAUGCUGAGCCACUUGUGGCCCAUAGCAUCUGCCACUGUGGGCCUCUCAGCAGGGUCAAAAGUCAUUAACCAAUCCAGCAUCUCUCCAGUUCCCCACUUACAUAGGAGGGGAUUAGGUUACGAGCCAGCCAGGAUCGCUUCCUUCAAGUGCCCAAAGCUCUCCCCUUCAAAGGGCAGCCACCUGUUGCUAUGGUGUACAGGACCAGGCCCAGGCUCCACAUGUCAGCUUUAUACCCAUCAAACUCCUUAUCUAGGAAUUCUUCUGGGGUGUAAUAUUCAAGUGUCCCACACAAGGACUUUAGUUGUUGGCCUUCAGUCAGUUUUUGGCUAAAGCCAAAGUCAAUUAGCUUAAUAGGUCAGUCCAGAAGGAGAUUUUCCAAUUUUAAGUCUCUGUGAACAAUGUGUUGCAUGUGGUAGUACUCCACUGCUACUAAUGUCUGAAUGAAGUACCAACAUGCUUCUCCUUCAUGAAGGUGGCUGCACACCUCGACAUACUUUUCAAGGUCCACCCCCACACCGCUAAAAUACCCAAUGAAAAGACAGGCUCUAUCUGCUGUGUAGUCUACCUGUAACAGCUUUAUAAUGUUAGGGUGAUGCAGAGAAUGCAUAAUUUCUGCUGCUACCCAAGCUUGCGGGAACUUGGAAGAAUCCCCGUCACCUCUGGCAGUGAUCUCCACAGCCCCCUUGGUUCUGCUCUCCAGAUGGAGGGCCAGCUUCACCUGCCCAAAACUGCCCUUGCCAAUGAUCCCGAGGACCUCAUAUCCACGGAACACCUCCUUCUCAGUGUGGGAGGAUCUGACGCCUUUCGUCGUCAGGAUAUCUCUUGUGCCUAGUGUACUGGGACACUAGGAACACUAGCUAGUCACCUACAGUAGCUACGGUAACAUGAUAAUCCAAUGAGAAAGCAACAGAUAAAGCCAAUGCAGAGCAACAGAUAAAUGGUGCUGGGACAGUGGGAAUCAGCAUAUUACAAAUACCUGUUAAAGUUAUGCAAUUUUGUAACUCAGAAUAUUGAGUCACCAUUAAUAAUUCUUUUUCCUCAUAGUUAUAAUUUUAUCAGCUUUAUCCUUAUGUCUGUGAAUUUUGUAGAAAAUUUUCUUUAGAAUAACAAUAAAAGCAGCAGUUCAAAAGACAAAAAAAAUUACUUCAUCCUGAUGCCUAGCUUACUCUAGACUGGAAUGGAAAUGAUGUAACAUUUCAAGUAAGUUGAAGAGGGUAUGUGGAAGUCACAGAAUGUUAUGAAAGAAAUUUUGGACACAAAAGCUAUUAUUUUCCUAAGACAUAGAAUCUGAACCUCUGAUAAAGCAGUUAAACUAGUCUAUUAUGUUCUCUUAAUGUCUCUGUUAAAUUCUAAUUGUUUCAAAACAGAUGAGUUUUUUAUUAAGAGCUAUGGGUUAUUAAAUAUAUGCUUAUUCAAAAACAUUUGAAUACUAACCUUGUAACUCAUCAAAUUUGGUCUAUAUUAUGUCACGAUGUUAAGGGAUCCUAUUUAAACGAGAUAUUUUGGAUUUUGAGCCUUCUUGGCAUCCUUGACAGGCAUUCAAAAAAACAAAAUUUCAAAAAUCUAGACUUUGACAAUUUCCAGAUGGGCCCCUGGAAACUGUCAAAGACACAGAGACACCAACUAAUCAGGCUAUUUGGAUUAUGUUAGAAGUACUGUCAA